rnacentral:lncRNA from 1 species
UUUAUUUUAAUCUGAAUGGUCAUUAAAGUCACGAUUUUUCAUCCAAAUGGUCUUUCUAUCAAUUUUUCUUUUAGAAUACUGACGUGGCUGGGGUUGUUAAAGACAUUGUAAUUUUUAACAACCACCACUACCAGAAAAAAGUUCUUAGGUGACAAAAUUUUUUUGUCACCUAAGCGCUUCUGUCGUCAUGUAAACACUAAAACAACGAAAAUUUCGUCACCUAAGGGUUGUCAUCUAAGACUGGUGGUUAGAGCACUCAGGUGACGAAAAUAUGAAUUUCGUCAUCUUAGUAAUGACUAAGAUGAUGAAAUAUUGUUCGUCGCCAAGAUACUUAGAUGACGAAAAUUAUUUCGUCGCCAAGCUACUCAGCUGACGAAAAUAGGUUCGUCGCAGGCUACUUAGCUGACGAAAAUAAUUUCGUCGCAAGACUACUUAGCUGACCAAAACACUAACAAUGGUCAGUUUGCUGACAACUCUUUCAUCGGGCUAAGGCCACAAAAGUUUAACUUUCGUCACCUUAGUGCUAUUUAUUUUUAUUAAAUUUAAUCAUUAAAAAUUAUUAAAAUCACAUUUCACUACCAGGACAAGCACUUUAGUCGACGAAAAAUUUUCGUCGGCCUGUCAGCUUAAUUCGUCGGCUAAGAUUUCGUCGGGAAAAGGUCGUCUGUGGUGACUUUAGCCGACGACACAUGUAGAAGUCGUCGGCUAUAGUCCAGAGUUUAGCCGACGAAAAAAAUGUCGUCGGCUAUAGUCUAGACUUUAGACGACGAAAAAAUGUCGUCGGUUAUAGUCCAAACUUUAGUUGACGAAAAAAAUUUAAGGUAUUCGUCAGCUAUAGUCUAGAGUUUAGCCGACGAAAAACAUGUCGUCGGUUAUUUCUCCGACUUUAGCCGACGAAGAAUUUAAAAUAUUUGUCGGCUAAAGUUUGUAAUUAAAAAAAUACAAAAUAACUAAAGCCGACGAAAUAUAGUCUAUUUCGUCGGCUUUAUAGGGAUUUAGCCGACGAAUUAAAGUGUAUUUCGUCGGCUAAAACUUAUAUUUUUUUUUAAAAAAAAACUUUAGCUGACGAAUUAAGGCGUUUUUCGUCGGCUAUAAGUCCAUUCCAAGUAAAAAAAAAAAAACCCCGAAAUUUCUGAAUUACCAUUCCAAGCAAGCUGCAAAAUACACGAAAACAAUUCCAUAUAACCAACAACAAGCACAUAAAACUAUAUAAUUCAUCAACUACACAAAAUCUAAAUCGUCUAAAUUAAUAUCCGCUUCUGGGGGCUGCUGCGAAGGUUGCUGCGGCUGGGGUAGCGGUAUAGCCGUAGGCAUGGGCGGAGCCGGAAGUCCCUGAAGCUGGGCAGCUGUAAAGUCCUGCAUGUACUGGAACAUCUGCUGCUGCUGGGCCUGCUGGAUGGCAUGUAUCUCGGCAACAUAGGCUGCCUGCGCGGUAUUAUAGGCUGUCUGCGAGGCAUUAUAGGCAGCCUGAGCAGCUUGCUGUUCUCGUAGUCUCUGAACUUCCGACUCUAGCUGAGUUGUCCUGGUGGUCGUGGACGUGGUCCUGCUGCUGGUCGAGGNNN